rnacentral:rRNA from 1 species
AGUGAACGCUGGCGGUAGGCCUAACACAUGCAAGUCGAACGGCAGCACAGUAAGAGCUUGCUCUUACGGGUGGCGAGUGGCGGACGGGUGAGGAAUACAUCGGAAUCUACUUUUUCGUGGGGGAUAACGUAGGGAAACUUACGCUAAUACCGCAUACGACCUACGGGUGAAAGCAGGGGAUCUUCGGACCUUGCGCGAUUGAAUGAGCCGAUGUCGGAUUAGCUAGUUGGCGGGGUAAAGGCCCACCAAGGCGACGAUCCGUAGCUGGUCUGAGAGGAUGAUCCGCCACACUGGAACUGAGACACGGUCCAGCCUCCUACGGGGGGCAGCAGUGGGGAAUUUUGGAAAAUGGGCGCAAGCCUGUCCCCGCCAUACCGGGUGGGUGAAGAAGGCCUUCGGGUUGUAAAGCCCUUUUGUUGGGAAAAAAAAGCAGCAGGUUAAUACCCCGCUGUUCUGACGGUACCCAAAAAAUAAGCACCGGCUAACUUCGU